rnacentral:tRNA from 1 species
GCCUUGGUGGUCCAGUGGUUAAGAUUCCACACUCCCAAUGCAGGGGGCCCAGGUUCCAUCCCUGGUCAAGGAA